rnacentral:rRNA from 1 species
UACGGGGGGUGCAAGCGUUGUUCGGAUUUACUGGGCGUAAAGGGCGCGUAGGCGGUCAGCACAAGUCAGUUGUGAAAUCUCCGGGCUUAACUCGGAAAGGUCAACUGAUACUGUGCGACUAGAGUGCAGAAGGGGCAACUGGAAUUCCCGGUGUAGUGGUGAAAUGCGUAGAUAUCGGGAGGAACACCAGUGGCGAAGGCGACUUCCUGGCCUGUUCUUGACGCUGAGGCGCGAAAGCUAGGGUAGCAAACGGG